rnacentral:rRNA from 1 species
GUAAGCGUGCGCAGGCGGUUAUAUAAGACAGAUGUGAAAUCCCGGGCUCAACCUGGGAACUGCAUUUGUGACUGUAUAGCUGGAGUGCGGCAGAGGGGGAUGGAAUUCCGCGUGUAGCAGUGAAAUGCGUAGAUAUGCGGAGGAACACCGAUGGCGAAGGCAAUCCCCUGGGCCUGCACUGACGCUCAUGCACGAAAGCGUGGGGAGCAAACAGGAUUAGAUACCCUAGU